GAUGAACGCUGGCGGCGUGCCUAAUACAUGCAAGUCGAGCGAACAGACGAGGAGCUUGCUCCUCUGACGUUAGCGGCGGACGGGUGAGUAACACGUGGAUAACCUACCUAUAAGACUGGGAUAACUUCGGGAAACCGGAGCUAAUACCGGAUAAUAUAUUGAACCGCAUGGUUCAAUAGUGAAAGACGGUUUUGCUGUCACUUAUAGAUGGAUCUGCGCCGCAUUAGCUAGUUGGUAAGGUAACGGCUUACCAAGGCGACGAUGCGUAGCCGACCUGAGAGGGUGAUAGGCCACACUGGAACUGAGACACGGUCCAGACUCCUACGGGAGGCAGCAGUAGGGAAUCGGCCGCAAUGGGCGAGAGCCUGACGGAGCAACGCCGCGUGAGUGAUGAAGGUCUUCGGAGCGUAAAACUCUGUUAUUAGGGAAGAACAAAUGUGUAAGUAACUAUGCACGGCUUGACGGUACCUAAUCAGAAAGCCACGGCUAACUACGUG
rnacentral:rRNA from 1 species